GUGUAAAAAAGAGCCCAAUGCCCAAUGGGCCAUCCACCAGUUAGGGUUUCGUCUUCCCUAUAAAUUCCUGAACCCUAUCUUGCAUCAUUUCCCAGUCGCAGCCUGCGCUCUCUAAUCGGAACACCGCCGCCGCCAGAUCGUGUUCGGUAUCUGAGGUUCAGUUUUUAACCACCAUGAGGGCCAAGUGGAAGAAGAAGCGUAUGAGGAGACUCAAGAGGAAGCGCAGAAAGAUGAGACAGAGAUCCAAGUAAUCGAGACUAGUUUUGUUUCCUUUCUCAAUGUUUUUUUCUUUGUUCCCAGAAACAUCGUGUUCUAUUACUUAACUCGUUUUAUUUUUCUUAAUGUUAUGGAUUUUAUGGAUCUUAUUUUAGCUCAAGUAUGCUUGUUAAUUUCUGAAA